CUCUGGACCCCACAAGACAGCUCGCUGGAGACUCAUCUCCUCCCUCCCACUAAAUCAGGAGACAGAAGAGGGUUUCCUCCCUGUGAGAGAAGGGGAAACAGAAAUGCAGAGAAGACAAGCCAUGUUUCAAAAGAAAUCCAGCUAAGUUAGCCCUACUGAGACAUGGACUGGAAGUACAAGACACUGCCUAGGAGAUCUGGAGGCAAAAGCCAAGUUUCCUUGUACACCGUCCCUCUCUCGGAAGCUCCCGCUGGACCUCCAGGGGGAUCAGGAACUUCUCGUUGGGUUAUCACACGGGCGAGCUGACCGGCCCUGUCCUUCCACUCAUGGCAGCCACAGUGAUCUGGUAAAAUCUAAACUGUCUUCCCAAAACAUCGAUCUCAUCAUGUCACCCUGCCAACAAGACCUUCCGGGUUUCCAGACUCUGCUCACACCACACUCUCCCCACUCCCUUCGCUCUCUGCUCUGCCAGCAGGGGCUCCAGUGACAUUUUGGGCCAGAUAAUUAUUUGUUGUGAGGGAUUGUCCUGUGGGUUGUAGGAUGUUUAGUAGCAUCUCUAGCUUCUACCUACUAGAUACCAAUGGCAACCCUUCUCCUAAGUUGUGACAAAAAAAAAAAUCUCCAAAUGUGACUGAAUGUCACCAUUGUCAGAUGUCCCCUGAGGUGAAAUCACCCCCGUUAAGAACCUUUGCUGUAAAUGCUGUCCUCCCUCCUGAAAUAAGGAAACAGAGGCUUCUUUGACAAGAGCACUCUCCAGGCUCUGCCCCUCUUCCUAAUUCACCCCUUCUUGGCCUCACUCCAAUGUCCACUCCAUCAUCACUUCCUGAGGGAAGUUUCUCUAAUACCUCUGCCUCUCUGGUCCCCCUGUUAUAAGCUCUCCUAGCAUUGGGUACUUCUCCUGUGUUGUACUUAUUAGCUGGUAAUCAAAAUAAAUGAUUACUAACA